UGGGGAAUUUUGGACAAUGGGCGCAAGCCUGAUCCAGCCAUGCCGCGUGCGGGAAGAAGGCCUUCGGGUUGUAAACCGCUUUUGUCAGGGAAGAAAUCUUCUGAGUUAAUACCUCGGGAGGAUGACGGUACCUGAAGAAUAAGCACCGGCUAACUACGUGCCAGCAGCCGCGGUAAUACGUAGGGUGCAAGCGUUAAUCGGAAUUACUGGGCGUAAAGCGUGCGCAGGCGGUUUUGUAAGACAGAGGUGAAAUCCCCGGCUCAACCUGGGAACUGCCUUUGUGACUGCAAGGCUUGAGUGCGGCAGAGGGGGAUGGAAUUCCGCGUGUAGCAGUGAAAUGCGUAGAUAUGCGGAGGAACACCGAUGGCGAAGGCAAUCCCCUGGGCCUGCACUGACGCUCAUGCACGAAAGCGUGGGGAGCAAACAGGAUUAGAUACCCUGGUAGUCCACGCCCUAAACGAUGUCAACUGGUUGUUGGGAAGGUUCCUUCUCAGUAACGUAGCUAACGCGUGAAGUUGACCGCCUGGGGAGUACGGCCGCAAGAUUAAAAGCUUAAAUGAAUUGACGGGGUCAUAGCUGUUUCCUG
rnacentral:rRNA from 1 species